rnacentral:rRNA from 1 species
GACAAACGCUGGCGGCGUGCAUAAAACAUGCAAGUCGAACGGGCCAAUCCCCGCAAGGGGAAAGGCUAGUGGCGAACGGCUGAGUAACACGUAGGUGACCUGCCCCGAAGUGGGGGAUAACAACUCGAAAGAGUUGCUAAUACCGCAUGUGACCACCGAUUCAUUUCGGUGCUCAAAGUCGCAAGACGCUUUGGGAGGGGCCUGCGGCGGAUUAGCUAGUUGGUGGGGUAACGGCCUACCAAGGCAUCGAUCCGUAGCUGGUCUGAGAGGAUGACCAGCCA